rnacentral:lncRNA from 1 species
GGAAGGCGGGGCUAGGCCGUCAUUCAACUUGGCCCCGCCGAUCAGGGCGGGACUACGCGCGCCCUGGGCCCGCCCAGGAAGGUUCCGCAGGUAGAAGGCAGGCGCCCGGUCUACGACGUCAUCGCGCUGACGCCGGCGUCCACUCGGCCCCGCCUGCUCCGUUGAAAAUGCCGAACCUAACAUGGCGGCGCGCGCUCGGCCCGCUUCACCCUGGUGUUUCCUCUCGCGCGGGCACUCUUCAGAGAGGAGAGACCCUCUUGGACAAGAGAGGCAGGCUGCAAAAGCCCACUGAACGUGCUUCUGAUAUUCAGGGUAUGCAGCAAACUUGUGCCAACAGAAGUAAAAGG